GGUGAGCUGCAAAUGUCGUAACAAAGUACCUACUUCUCUGAUGGUUGAUGGCCUUCCUAUAGACAACUCUCGAGUGAGCAGUAGAGAAUCAUCACUUUAAAUGAACGUAGAGAUUCUUUGUUUUGUCUUAGAUCAUGUUCUCUAGAAGCAGAAACUGAGUGUAGGGUUCAGGGGCAAACAACCUUUCGAGGAAUGCUCUUCAGAAGAAGUCAGUAAGUUUAAGGAUAAGGAAGGUGGAAAAGCAGAACAAGGAUGUGAUUUCGGGUAAAAGUCUAGCCUUAGUACGAUAUAUGAGGGAGACGUCUGCCGUGUAACCUGUAAUCCUCUCUCAGAGGCUCUUGAGAAUAUUCUGGGAGCCAUUCAUCGACCACCUGCACAACGGCUGAGAGACGGAUGUGCAAGCCCAGUAAAUGAGAUGGAACAGGGUUGGGGGCAACACCUAACUUCUGCCACACUGAUUUAUAUCUCAGACUAGAAAUUCUAGUUUCUGAAUCAUGAUCCUGUUUUAUACUUCAAGUGAUUGUAAUAUUUUUCUGUAUCCUAAGUGUGCUCAGAAAAAGCGUGAGAUUGCAUUUCCAUCUGGAGCAGAGGAAGAUGUCCCCAGACUCAAAAGGACAGAGGAGUACAGAAUACAGAAGCAAAAUGAAUUUUUAUGACUAUACUUCAUGAGUCCUACAUGCUCAGUAGGCCACAUGUGUGUAUACACACAUAUAUCAUGCAUAUAUGCAUAUGUUUAUGUAUUUUAUCAUAUUUCAUAUCAUACAUACAACACAUAUGCACACCUAUAUCUUUCACCUACUAUCUCUUGUUUUAUAGCUCAGAGAAGAAUAUUACAUUCUUUCAAAGAUCUUGAAAGUAGCCACUGUUAACAUCACUAUUGUACAACACUAAAAUAUAUGUGGCUAUUAUUUCUAUAGCAAUAGUACAGAUGAUACUCAUAUUUUCUUGUCAGCAUUCUACUUCUUUGAAACAGAGAAAGUUGAAAAGAGGGCAUUUCUUUUUCUGCCAAAGAUCUGGAAACACUUUGUCCCUGGAGCGGACUUCCAGCCAAAUGAGGAUCUCCAUAGGAAUGGAAGAAAUCACACGCUCUGCUCCAGGAUCCUGUGUUUGCCAGGUCACAUUGCUUUACUUUGGAUUUCUACCAUCUGAGCGAGGGUCAGUCCAAAGGCCCGGGACCCACCGUGGUGCAGCCAACUGCUAUGUGUUGCCAGGGCAGCGUGUCCUCUUGUGUCUUGGCCAGAGAAUGAGCACAUAUUGCUAUGCACAAGAGGAAAUUGCCAGUCUGAAAAUUUCCCUUUGUGGUGUCUAAUGGAGUAAUCCAGCUGUUUGUUUUGUUUUGUUGUGGCUGCAAUUCAACCUUGAGAAAAUCUCUGAUGUGUUCCGGAAGCCUCUCUAAGGAGGAAUCAGAGGGAAGAACUGGGAUUCAUCUGGGAAGGUUGCACAGUUACACUGUCCUCCUCACCUGACAGACAAAUAAAAAAGUUAGAAACAUGAGUGAAAUUAGUAUUAUUUCCUUUUGUGGAUGUGAGCUGAACUGCUUUACAAAACUGAGUAUUUGGUACUAACCCAUUACUGGGACAAAAGUUGUAUUGCCUAAAAUCGUGGCACAACAGUUGGCUAGACCACGGUCAUUGAGAAAUGCUCCGUGUCAUCUUCCACGUGUCAGGCUGAAAACACCAAAACAAAGAAACAGAAACCAAAAUACAAGAACUGAAUUUUAUCCUGCUCUCAUAUUUCAAAUGCAUUUCAAAGUUUGGUUCCAAGUAACUGUGAAGGAGCCCUCCCAAAGGGUGAAAAGACCAGAUAUCUUGAGGCACAUCUAUAAUCCUACAGGCUAGGAAUUUCUAAUCUACAGGAAUGAAGACUUGUAAUCUGUAGCAGCGCGUCUUGCCGCCGUUGGAGCCGUCCUCUUCCUUGGGUUACCGAUGCCGUGAGCUGACGCCUCGUCCGCUUGCACCCCGCACCGCUGCUGCUCCAGUGCUGCUGCCCCCGUCACCGCCGCCCGUCCCUGCCGCCUCCAUCCGCCAUGACCCACCGCCUCCUGCCGCCACCAGCAUCGCCUCCUCCUGAUGCCCCCUAGUUAGACCAUGCGGGCCCCCAAACGCAAUUCCCAAUCACACCAAAUAUUUUAAGGAACAUAGGUAUUUUCGUUUCAGAUGCUUCUCACCUUGUGGCCUGAGUACAAUCCAAGCAUGUUCAGACACGAGCUGAGUGUUAUCUUUGGAGCAUCCUGGAACUCUCCCUCUAGUCCAGGGACCACACCCAGCUUGUGGACCUGACUUGUUCCUUGCUUAGGAUGGGCUCAGGCCCAGAGGUUCCACAGCCACUCAAAUACACAUGCCUGUUGGAUCAGCCUAGAAAUUCAUUGUAGACACUCAAGCUAGCUUUCUUUCUGCACACUUCAGGAACAUGUGCACACAUGGGUACAUGUCCUUAUUGAAAUUGCCAGAGAGAAUGCAAAACUCACAUGUUUGUGAGUUUAGUCUAUUUCCCCCUGGUACUGUGAAAUUGCUGGUAUUGUGGAAUUCUUCUGAGAAUCUAAAACCUGAUGUUAUCUCAUUUACCUUGAGGAAUAUCAGCUGGGAUAUCUCCAAAUAAUAGCUAGGCUUGUCAAGAUAGGCAGUUGUUUCUCUGUAGGGUGGAGGAAGUCUGAAGCUAGGCCAGUCCAGGCCUGGUGGUGAAGCUCUGUGAGGUCACCAGGGCCUAAACCAUAGCUCUGGUCCUCCGCCCUCAACACGCGGUGUCCACUGCAAGAACCCAGGCUGCUGCUGGAGCAUCGGGAGCUGCAUCCCAGUCAGCAGGAAAGAGGAAGGACCUAGAAAGACAUGCCCCUUCUCUUUAAGGACACUACACUCACAGAAUUUACAUGCUGGGUUUCCACUUACCUCUGAUGGGUCAGAGCUUGGCUGCAAUGCCACAUUUAGCUGCAAAAGAGGCUGGGAAAUGAACCCUUUACUGUGUGUGUCCAGGUUUCCAGCCACAUCAGCAGUUCUGCUCCCAGGAAGGAGGCCAAGAAUACAUAAUCAAAGAGAUCAGGGAGUCUCUGCAAAACAGAGAAGAUUUUUUUCCCUCCCCUUUUAUAGAUUUCAACCUGGCACAUUGAAUUGCUUGUGCCAUCCACACCAGUGUAUGUGAGAGGAUCACCUAUUGAUAAUUUAAUUCAUACUUCCAUCUCACUGCUGUUGAUGCAUUUCCCUUCCCUGUCGUGAAAAGGUAGCUCAGCUGUUGUCCCCAUGUCUAACAGGCUCUUGUGUUGUGGGAUCAAGAGCCAACAUUGACAGGUACUCAGCAGGUAAACCCGGCCUCAUCUUUUGCUUUCAUGGCAUGAACUCAUGGAAACAAUGAUAGCAAAGUCCCUGUAAUGGGAGAGGAGCUCCAAAGUUUGGGGAAAGCAGAAGUGGAUUGGAGAGAGGUGUUGAAGCUUCCUUGAGGCAGAAGGGGUCAGGGUUUGGGCUGUCUAGCAGCUAGUAGGGACCAGAGCUGCGCACUGCCUUCAGAGCACAUCCUAAGAGCAGCGGCCAUGUGUGUGUCUCAGGAAGCCCAGAUGUGAGUCGUAAAGUACCUCCCAAGGCUGGAAAUGUUUUCUCUGCUCAAGAACCCGUUUUCCAGAGAGAUGACCAGGGUGAUCCAGACAGUAGGGUGAAAGUGAAGUCGCUCAGUCGUGUCCGACUCUUUGCGAUCCUAUGGACGGUAGCCUACCAGGCUCCUCCAUCCAUGGAAUUUUCCAGACGAGAGUACUGGAGUGGGUUGCCAUUUCCUUCUCCAGGAAAAUGUAUAUUAUGGGAGUGGGUCUGGUGAAAGUGAAAGUGAGACAGUAGGGUGUCCCCUCUCUAUUCUGGUCUUACAAGUGAACUGAGACUAUCCUAUAACCCUGGAGAAGUAGAGGCAGUGCCCAAAAUGAGAUCAAGGGUGAAUUUUCCUCCACGAGCAGGUAGGAACUUAGGGAGAAUGUUUUUUUCCCAACAGAGUAUUAAUAUUUUUUAAACCACAUAUUGUCAGUUAAUAUUUAUUCCUGCUGUAAGGAUAGGGCUAAAAAUAGAACUCAGGCCUCCUGAGUAAUAACCUUGCAAUCUGCUGUUGCAGCUUUGCUGUCUCUGAAGGCCAAGGUUAGAAGUGGGAACCAUAUUGAUCACUGAAGAGUGAUUCAUCCUAACUCCUCAGCCUGCUGCCUUGGCUCAUCAUUUUUUGUUUUCCCACAUUGAUUUAAUCCUACAUAGUCGCUUUUUAGGCUAUCAACUCCUGGAAGGCAGGUACUCGGUCUAGACUAUAUGACAUGGUCCAAGGCAUGUUAUGUUGCUCACACAGUCUGUUGUUCCAUUGACCCUUCCUCAUGUCUUCAUCGUGGUGAAAUUCGUUAGGCACUCACCAUGUUUCCCCUAAUCUGGGGCUUGUUAUAGAAUUAUACGUCAGAGCCAAGUCUCCAAGGGAAACCCAAGGUGUUAUAACCAGUGAUAUUGAUGAUUUAGUAGAUGAUGUUCUUUUUCUGAACUUCAAAUGAAACCAGUGGGUUAUGAGGAUUCAUCCCUCAGCUGAGUCACAAAGACAAGUUUCUGCCCUCUUGCAGUUAAAAAUUCAUGAAGCAUUUUCAAAAGGCUGUUGAGAAUCAGGCUCAGUCACAUUCUUGCCCUUUCUAACUUAAAUAUUGUCUCUAUGACUCACUGCCUUUGGAGGUCUUCACUUUUGCCUAUGAGUUGUAAUAUGGUGUUUCCACUGAGUCAAGAAUCUGGUUAUCAUUUAGUUAAGCUAAAGAAAAAUAUAAGCAUUACAGGGAAUCAAGCAAUAAAACAAAAUAUAAACAUCAGUUCGUUUCACUGUGCUUUGCUACAAAGCUUGGCAAGCUUUGAAAAUUGGCUUGCUGGGGUUGUCUCCCCAAGGUGGAUGAACCAACAGCUAAAAUGAGGCUAGAGACAUUUGUCAGUGACUGCUUUUCCUGCCCCAUGAUAGUUCUCUCGAUCAGAGGGAACUUUGGUUUCCAACCGGAAAGGAGAAAGUGAGAGGCAAUUGAUCCCCUGACAAUGAGAGCUGAUCUGUGUCUCAUAAUUGGCCCACAUGCCACAGAUUGCUGGUGCCUACAUCUGUACCACAUUACUGGGUUUCAGAUAGCAAGUUUUGCAACUGCAAUAUUCCCUGAGAUGCCUUUGCUUUUGCUACUAUGGCAUCAGACUAUUUCCCCCUUUUGUGGCCAAGUUAUUGGAAGGAAGGCAAGGACCUUGGAGAACUUGCUUUUUCAGGAUUGUUAAUGUCUUAUAACUUCCUGCUGUCUUGCUGCUAAUAAUUC